UCAAGAUCCCCUCCCUCAACUUGACCUAUCCAACGGCCCAUAUUUCCUUAUCCUACACCUAAUCCCUUACCAUUUAUAGGCGCUUCAGAUUGUUCUUCUCACAAACCACACGAACAAAAUGAAGCAGUUGUUGGAUUCUCGGCUCGAAGCUUUAGCAUUUAACUACCUGAGUUUGGGAUCUUCACUGUUGUUAAUAAUCUAUGGACGUGGGUCGCUGUCAUCACGGCGGCAGUUAGUUUUGGAGAAUCAAAGCUGCCGGCGCCGCCACCUCCUCUUCGACCGUUAAAAGUCACAAGCAGGGCUGGUCGACUACCGAAGUUGAAGAAAAACCGACCGUUUCAGCUCUAGCUUCCGUUACGGGGACGACGAGCGUUUCGCGGUUCGUUUGCAAUGGCGGGGUGACGAAAAGUGGGAAGCCCAGGUUGACUGUUAUUACGAAGAGGACAUCGAUGGUGAAACGACGGAUACGGAAUGGAGUGAAGGUGACGGGAACUGUACGGAAGGGAGUUGCGGCGGGGACCGGUGGGAGAGUUGGGAGAGAGUGUUGAGGUUGAGGAAAGGGGAGACGGGGUGGUACCGUUAUCAGGAUUUGACGGCGAUAAACGGAAACGUUGUUCGGUUAUGGGAUGGUUCGUGUCGAAGAGCAAGAUGGUAAUAAAAAGCUCA